rnacentral:rRNA from 1 species
AAGCGUUAUUCGGAUUCACUGGGCGUAAAGGGCGCGCAGGCGGCCAAGUGGGUGAGGCGGGAAAGCCCGGGGCUUAACCCCGGAAUUGCACCUCAAACUACAUGGCUAGAGCAUUGGAGAGGGUAGCGGAAUUCACGGUGUAGCAGUGAAAUGCGUAGAUAUCGGGAGGAACACCAGAGGCGAAGGCGGCUACCUGGACAAUUGCUGACGCUCAGGCACGAAAGCGUGGGGAGCAAAAGGG